CCUACGGGAGGCAGCAGGGGGGAAUAUUGGUCAAUGGCCGGAAGGCUGAACCAGCCAUGCCGCGUGAAGGGCAGGGCCCUAUGGGCGUUAAACUUCUUUUGUGCGGGAGCAAUAAUGGUCACGUGUGGCCAGACGAGAGUACCGUACGAAUAAGCAUCGGCUAACUCCGUGCCAGCAGCAGCGGUAAUACGGGGGAUGCAAGCGUUAUCCGGAUUUAUUGGGUUUAAAGGGUGCGUAGGCUGUGAGGUAAGUCAGCGGUGAAAUGCCCCCGCUCAACGGGGUGAAGUGCCAUUGAUACUGCCUUGCUGGAAUGCGGAUGCCGUGGGAGGAAUGUGUGGUGUAGCGGUGAAAUGCAUAGAUAUCACACAGAACACCGAUUGCGAAGGCAUCUCACGAAUCCGCGAUUGACGCUGAUGCACGAAAGCGUGGGGAGCAAACAGGAUUAGAUACCCUGGUAGUC
rnacentral:rRNA from 1 species